GACGAACGCUGGCGGCGUGCUUAACACAUGCAAGUCGAACGGAAAGGCCUGUCCUUCCUUGUGUUGGACGGGUACUCGAGUGGCGAACGGGUGAGUAACACGUGAGUGAUCUGCCCCCAACUUGGGUAUAAGCCUGGGAAACUGUGUCUAAUUCCCGAUAGGACUGCAGGGUGGUGCCGGUGGUGGAAAACGAUUUUCUAGUUGUUGGGGAUGAGCUCGCGGCCUAUCAGCUUGUUGGUGGGGUAAUGUCCUACCAAGGCGGCGACGGGUAGCCGGCCUGAGAGGGUGGACGCCCACAUUGGGACUGAGAUCCGGCCCAGACUCCUACGGGAGGCAGCAGUGGGGCAUAUGGCACAAUGGGCGGAACCCUGAUGCAGCGACGCAGCGUGGGGGAUGACGGCCUUCGGGUUGUAAACUACUUUCGAACGCGAGGAAGCCGCCUGGUUGGAAGGGUGGUGACGGUAGUGGUAGAAGAAGCACUGGCUAACUACGUG
rnacentral:rRNA from 1 species